rnacentral:lncRNA from 1 species
UUUUUUUUUGAAAAAUAAAUAUGCUAUGAUGCAAAUGAUGCAGACACGACUGGUUGGCUGUGUCUCUCAGAAUACAGGAUCAAAACUUCGGCUUGAACUCGGAACCACAAAUUCAUCUGAAACCCAAAGUCAUCUGAGACCCCAAAAUUCUGAACCAAUAGUCACCAACAGGAUCGCAAGUCGCCAACAAGUCACCAACAAGUCAUCAACUGUACCUGUAAUAAUGAUCAUCCCCUCCCCACUCGCGGGUGUCGUCUAGGCCAGGGUAAGGUCGAGAGAAACGCAGCAUAGAUAACCUUUCGCAGAACAUCAUCAUAUACACACCCGAAGUAUGUAACGAUAAUAUCCCACCAGGGUCUGAACUGCU